rnacentral:rRNA from 1 species
CGAACGGGUGAGUAAUGCGUGACCAACCUGCCCCAUGCUCCAGAAUAGCUCUUGGAAACGGGUGGUAAUGCUGGAUGCUCCAACUUGACGCAUGUCUUGUUGGGAAAGUGUUUAGUGGCAUGGGAUGGGGUCGCGUCCUAUCGGCUUGUAGGCGGGGGUAAUGGCCCACCUAGGCUUCGACGGGUAGCCGGCCUGAGAGGGCGGACGGCCACAUUGGGACUGAGAUACGGCCCAGACUCCUACGGGAGCAGCAGGG